UACGUAGGGGGCUAGCGUUGUCCGGAAUCAUUGGGCGUAAAGAGCGUGUAGGCGGCCCGGUAAGUCCGCUGUGAAAGUCGGGGGCUCAACCCUCGAAUGCCGGUGGAUACUGUCGGGCUAGAGUGCGGAAGAGGCGAGUGGAAUUCCUGGUGUAGCGGUGAAAUGCGCAGAUAUCAGGAGGAACACCAAUUGCGAAGGCAGCUCACUAAGCUUUAACUGACACUGAGGCACGAAAGUGUGGGGAUCAAACAGG
rnacentral:rRNA from 1 species